ACGCUUACCAAAGCUGCCCAAUUGCAUCCGAGCAGCUGCUUUAGCGUCUCUUUGUUUGCGGGGAGAAACAUGGCGGAUCGCCUGACACAGCUGCAGGACGCCGUGAACUCGCUUGCAGAUCAGUUUUGUAAUGCCAUUGGAGUGUUGCAGCAGUGUGGUCCUCCUGCCUCUUUCAGUAAUAUUCAGACAACCAUUAACAAAGAUCAGCCAGCUAAUCCUACAGAAGAAUAUGCCCAGCUAUUUGCAGCGCUGAUUGCACGAACGGCAAAAGACAUUGAUGUUUUGAUAGAUUCCUUACCCAGUGAAGAAUCUACAGCUGCUUUACAGGCUGCCAGCUUGUAUAAGCUAGAAGAAGAAAAUCAUGAAGCUGCUACAUGUCUGGAGGAUGUUGUUUAUCGAGGGGAUAUGCUUCUGGAAAAGAUACAGAGUGCCCUUGCUGAUAUUGCGCAGUCACAGCUGAAGACAAGAAGUGGUACCCACAGCCAGUCUCUUCCAGACUCAUAGCACCAGUGUACAUAUCAUGUGGCCAAGAAGAGAACUAUUUCAGUGCCGUUAAGAAUUCUACAUCAGAUUUAGAUGGAACAUCAUUUUCUAAUGACUUAGAGACGAACUAUGGUGAUUCAGACUUAGAAAUGGAACAACAAAGCAUGGAUGACAGCACAUCGUUGGAUCACAUAGUUUACUGAAUAUUUUAAGCCCACUGUGGAGACUUUUGCCUCAGGAAAAAAGCUUCCUUUCAAAAUAAUUCUGCUCGUUGACAAUGUACCUGGUCACUCAAGAGCUCUGAUGAUGUACAAAGAGAUUGAUGUUAUUUUCAUGCCUGCUAACACAGCAUCUAUUCUGCAGUCCAUGGGUAAAGGAGUCAUUUUGACCUGCAAGUCUUAUUUUUUAAGAAAUACAUUUCAUACAGCAAGAGCUGCCAUAGAUAGUGAUUCCUCUGAUGGAUCUGGGCAAAAUAAAUUGAAGUCUUCUGGAAAGGAUUCACCAUUCUAGAUGUCAUUAAGAACAUUUGUGAUUCAUGGGAAGAGAUCAAAAUAUCAACCUUCACAAGGGUUUGGAAAAAGCUGAUUUCAACCUCAUGGAUAACUUUGAGAAGUUCAAGACUUCAUUGGAGGAAGUUAUCACAGAUGUAGCAGAAAGAGCAAGAGAACUGGAAUUAGAAGUGGAGCUUGAAGAUGUGACUGAAUUUCUGCAAUCUCAUGAUAAAACUUGAAUGAAUGAGGAGUUGCUUCACAUGGAUGAAUAAAGAAAGCAGUUUCUUGAGACGGCAUAUACUCCUGGUGAAGGUGCUGUGAAGGUUGUUCAGAUAACAACAAAAGAUUUAGUAUGUUACAGAAGCAGCAGCAGAAAUUGAGAAGAUUGACUCCAAUUUUGAAAGAAGUUCUACUGUGAGUAAAAUACUAUCAAACAGCACUGCAUGCUACAGUGAAAUGUUUGUGAAAGGAAAUUUCAUUGCUGUCUUAUUUUAAGAGAUCGCCGCGGCCACCCCAGACUUCAGCAACCACUGCCCUGAUUGGUUAGGAGCCGUCAAUGCUGAGGCAAGAUCCUCUACCAGCAAAAUGAUGACGACUCACUAAAGGCUCAGAUGAUGAAGGCUUUAGAUGAUAAAGGCAUUUUUUAGCAAUAAUGGUUUUUGUUUGUUUGUUUGUUUGUUUGUUUUAGGACUGCAUCUGUGGCAUAUGGAAGUUCAUAGGCUAGGGGUUGAAUUGGAGCUGCAGCUGCUGGCCUUCACCACAGCCACAAAAUGCCAGAUCUGAGUUGCAUCUGCAACCUACACCCAGAUCUUUAAUCCACUGAUUGAGGCCAGGGAGUGAACCUGCAUCCUCAUGGAUACUAGGCGGGUUCUUAACCUGCUGAGCCACAAUGGGAACUCCAAUAACACAUUUUAAAAUUAAGAUGUGUAUACUUUUUUAGACAAAAGGCUUCUACAGUAUACUGUAAAUAUAACUUUUAUGUGGAGUGAGAAACCAAAAAAUUCAUGUGACUUGCUUUAUCACAAGAUUGGCUUUAUUGUGUCAGUACUGAACCUGCAGUGUCUCUGAGAUAUGCCUCAACUUUAACGCUCUUUCAUUUUCUUAGGUGGUAACGCAACCCUAAAUUCUUUGGAGUCCUUGAUAAUUUGUAAGUGCAUAGAGGGGUCUUGAGACUGAAAAAUUGGAGAGCUGUCACCUCAAAAUAAAGAGAAGACAACAAGAUACCUUUACUUUGCUAAGAUCACUUAUGGGUCUAGUUAGAAGAAGGUGCUCACUUUAAAAAGUGAUGCAGCAGGUAUAACAAUUAAUAGUUACAUUUUUUCCUUUUUACUCUUUGGUUGAGGUCUGCUAAAGCUUGGUGUUUUUAUCUUAAUUGAUUAUGGCAAGAAUUCUGACAUUAUGACAAAAAAGAAAUCACAUAACCUUACUGAGUGCGAUAAUGAAGCAUUUCCUUGUUGGUUAUCCAGACGAUUUAUAUUGAUCUUAUUUAUUUUUCAGACGCAGGAUUGGCUAAAAUUGGAAGAUUCUUCCUCUUUUUCUUCUUCUCUUUCUUCUCCUUCUUCUUCUUUGUCUUUUAAGGGCUGCACCAGUGGCAUAUGAAGUUCCCAGGCUAGGAGCAGAAUCGGAGCUAUAGCUGCCUGCCUACGCCACAGCCACAGCAAUGCAGGAUCCAGGCUAAGCCUGUGGCCUACACACACCUACAGCUCAUGGCAAUGCCGGAUCCUUAACCCACUGAGCGAGGCUAGGGAUAGAACCUGCAUCAUUCUGGAUACUAGUUGGGUUCGUCACUGCUGAGCCACUACAGGAACUCUGGAAUAUUCUUCUUAAAUUAUAAUUUCCUUCUGCCAGGGCUAAAAAUUUAUGAAAAUUCCCUAGACACCAGAGUUAUAUCAAUGACCUUGAAAUUAUUGUUCUCAACACACAGUGAAGAAAUUACUUAUUAAAAACAGUGCUUUUUGAAGAAAAAAAUCCAAUAAGGGAUUGAAUAUGCACUUUAAUAUUAGAAGAGUUAAGUGCCUUCCGUAUGUAGUCCACUCUCUCAUCAGACAGUGGCUGAUUAUUCUAAAUGUUUCAACAAAUAAUGCAAAACAGAACAGUAAAUCCCUAUGCUUCCUAAGGGCACUGUUAGAAGAGAUUUCUCCCUAACCCUCGCUGAGGCUCUUUUUAUCUAUUAGGGGGAUUAAACUUAAUUCCCUUGAUUUGUACUUAUUCUUUCCAACAAUGAUUGAUACAUAGGAAUUCAGAGAGGCUUUUUCAGAUUUGAGAUGCAAGUUCAAUGUCAGCCUUUUUUUUUUUUUUUUUUUUUUGGUUUGGUUUGGCUACAUCACAACAAAGGAAUAGUUGUCAAUAAAGCAUGCUAUGCAGAAUCCCGGACGUAUAUGGUGACUCAGCAUGAUUUUUCUGGAAAUUAGAAGCAGCCACUGAAAAUAGCAGAAGCAUUGGUUUCAGGUUCAACUGUUAGUUGAGCUUAGGCAAGAUAGGAUCUUUCUAUGCAGUCUCCUGAUUAUUGCUGUAAGAAUUUCUUGGUUGAAAGAUUAUUGAUACAUCACAUUUGAACAACUCUUUACUAUUUAGAAGACAUAAGACAUAAUUAUUUAGAACGUAGACUCUGGGUUUGAACCCUGGCCAUGACACUUACAAGUCAUGUGCCCUUGGUUAAGUCACAUUACCACUCUGUCUCAGAUCCUAUAUAAGAAUUCUAAUGACCUACAAGAAAUGUCAAAUAUUUAGUCUGAUACAAAGUGACCAAUAAAUCUUACAUA